CAACAUCUACCGCGGAAUACAUUGCCCUUUUUUCCAGGACAUCCAGGUUGACAAUCUCCAUCUGAUUUACAAGGUCCGUCAAGUUCUCUUCCUUCUGAUUUCUUACACAUAUCUGCAAGCAAUAUUUCUUCAAAACAUAAGAAUAAUAUCGUAUGUAAACAAAGAAUAAUUCAAAAUGUAAAUUUUUAGAAGUUAAACAUCCUUUUGAAAGCAGGUGAUUUAUUCAUUUUAUCAUUAGUUCCAAACCUGAUGUAAGAUGCAGAAAGCAAAAAGAUAUAUCAUUAUAAGAGCAGACAUCUUUGUAGUAUCCAUCUUUUUAAUAUAACAUAUGAUAUGACACAUAUAUCUGUUACUUAUAUAUGCAUAUGGUGAGACUACAUCUUGACUGUAUUAAUUACUUCAAAUUGAUUUCUUAAAUUCAAAGUAAAUUCAAUUCUAUGUAAGAUAAGAAAAUAUACAUUUUUGACCAUAUAAAAUAAUACCUUAAAAAAAUUGCAAUAAAUAUAUUAUAUUUAAUCAAUUAAAGAAUAAACUAAUAAUAAAUAUUCUUAAUUAAAUAUAAAUAACAAGUUCAAUGUAACUUUGUUAAUCAUAUAUCACAUUUUAAAAAUAUUGAGAAAGGAUAAAAGAAAGUUUAUUAGCGGGAGAAAAGCUCAACUUGAUUGGGUUAGUUGAAUACAAGAUAUGGAGUUUAGGGUUCAAGCCUUCAUUAAAGCAUUUGUUAGUAUUUCAUAUAAAGUGUUAAUCGAAACAAGAUGUCAAUAUUCAUAAUUAAAUAUUUUUUAUAAAAAUAAAUUAUAAUUAUAUUAAUUCAAGUGACAUAAACGGCCAUUUACAAAUAUUCUUGUUAAUUUGAAAUGUGAGACCUUAAAUUACAAGAAUAACUCUUACGCUGAAGUAUAAAAUAAACAUUAGAUUGACCUCUUUAUUUCAAGAGAUUAACUAUACACUAUAGUGUUAAAGUGUUUUACACCGGUCGAUUCUUCACCAUCAUCGUUGUAUUAUUUUAUAGAUUUUUAAAUAAAAAUCAGUCUUCUUUUAAUAUCGACGUCUAUGAUUAACUGACGUGUAAAAUCCUUUUACGGAGUUAUAUUUCAAUUAAACUCUUAUUUCAAUUAUGAUUUCAUAGAUUUUUUAAAAUGAUAGUAUUUUAGUUUUAAAAUUUGACUUAAUUUUUUACAGGAUAAUUGUAAAAUACUUAUAGGUUUCACUUAAAUUAAUAUUUCUUUGUCGUUAAAUAUAGGUUCUUGAUUAACAAUUGCAAGGAUUAGAUUCUUGAUAGAAGUAAAUUUGUUAUUAUAUUUAUUGUAAUAAUAUUUUUAACAUAUGAUAAUAUAAUAACUUUAUGAACUUUUCCUAUUUUUUCAUUAUAAAGUUAGUUAUUGUUUUUAUUUCAAAAAUAAUAUAAAUUUUAUUAGCACAUGAAUAUUUGUUGUUUUUAUUUUUGAAAGACAUUAUUUUUAUUGUUGUUAUAUUUAACUUUUUUGAAGCAGACGGAAGGCAAAGUGAUCUUCAACAACCUAACUAGAUUAAAAUAAUAAGAAAAGUACAAAAAAUUGAGAGACAUAAACUAAAUCAAUUUAAUAAAAAUAACAACUAAAAUGGUUUUAUAAAACAUGUUAAAUAGUAAAUUAAACAUAAAUUUUAAUCAAGAGAUAUCAGUCGUGCACAACUUAUAUAACCUAACAAAUUAGAAUUCGGAGCAACCCAACUUCAAAUUGAAUGAGAACUUUUGUUGUUGUUUGUUGUUGUUAUCUUUAACUUAUUUUUAAGCAAGCGGAAGGUAGAGUGAUCUUCGACAAAAUACGUUAUACGAGAUAUUAAUUUGGUACUGAUACAACACAAGUGCUAGCGAUAUCAUUAUAUGUAUGUCCAUAAACUAAAAAGGGCAGUAAGGCACAUACCAUACAAUGGUGCCUAAAUAAAAAUUAAAAUCUAUAUGCAACAUCUUCAUUGCUCACAAUCCACAUCGGAAGAUCACAAUACUCCAAAAUCUUUGAAACAUCAAGAAACAAUCAUGCAUAACUUGUUCAAACCAAUAAAUUAGAAUUGGGCGCAAAUUUAAUACCAAAAAAUUAGAUUUUUUAGCUGAAUAGCACGAGACUCUGAACUUUAGGUGUUUCUAUUGAACUCGGUUGUAAAUAAAAUAAAGAAUCAUGACACCCAGUUGAAACUAUUUAACCAGUUUUUCAUUUAAAAUUAUAUAAAAAAAUCAUGAAUUUUUAGACUUACUCGUCUUGCUCAAUUAUUAUCUAUUUGUAUUAUAGCAUAUUUCCAUGGGUGUUCUAUAUAUGGAUCCAUAUUUGUAAUUAUUUUCACUAUUAUAUAUUAUAGAUCUAAAUAUGGUAAAUAUUUUUUAAUACUUUAUAAUGUAUGAAAUUCAUAUAAAAAAAUAAUAAUAUAAAAUAUUUUUUUCAAAAUGAAAGAAAACAAAAAGAUAAAAUAAUUUGAAAAAUAAUUAUCCAACUUUUAUAAGAUUAUAUUUUAUUUUAGAAAAAUAUUUUCCUUUUAAACAAUUGUAUUAUUACAUAUUAUUUUUAUUCUUACAUGAUUAUUUCCUCACAAUACUAAUUUACUCAGUUUGCAAUCCGAGGGAUUACACUAGGAGUAGUAUUAUCUAAAGAUGAUGAUUCAAUACACAACAUCUACCGCGAAUACAUUGCCCUUUUUUUCCAGGACAUCCAGGUUGACAAUCCAUCUGAUUUACAAGGUCCGUCAAGUUCUCUUCCUUCUGAUUUCUUACACAUAUCUGCAAGCAAUAUUUCUUCAAAACAUAAAAUAAUAUCGUAUGUAAACAAAGAAUAAUUCAAAAUGUAAAUUUGUUAGAAGUUAAACAUCCUUUUAGAAGCAGGUGAUUUAUUCAUUUUAUCAUUAGUUCCAAACCUGAUGUUAAGAUGCAGAAAGCAAAAGUAUAUCAUUAUAAGAGCAGACAUUUUGUAGUAUCCAUCUUUUUAAUAUAACAUAUGAUAUGACACAUAUAUCUGUUACUUAUAUAUGCAUAUGGUGGACUACAUUCUGACUGUAUUAUUACUUCAAAUUGAUUUCUUAAUUCAAAAGUAAAUUCAAUUCUAUGUAAGAUAAGAAAAAUAUACAUUUUUUGACCAAUAUAAAAUAUACCUUAAAAAUUGCAAUAAAUAUAUUAUAUUUAAUCAAUUUAAAGAAUAAACUAAUAAUAAAUAUUCUUAAUUAAAAUAUAAAUAACAAGUUCAAUGUAACUUUUGUUAAUCAUAUAUCACUUUUAAAAAAUAUUGAGAAGGAUAAAGAAAGUUUAUUAGCGGGAGAAAAGCUCAACUUGAUUGGGUUAGUUGAAUACAAGAUAUGGAGUUUAGGGUUCAAGCCUUCAUUAAAGCAUUUGUUAGUAUUUCAUAUAAAGUGUUAACGAAACAAGAUGUCAAUAUUCAUGAAUUAAAUAUUUUUUAUAAAAAUAAAUGAUAAUUUAUAUUAUUCAGUGACAUAAACGGCCAUUUUACAAAUAUUUCUGUUAAUUUGAAAUGUGAGACCUUAAAAUUACAAGAAUAAAACUCUUACGGCUGAAGUAGAAAAUAAACAUUAGAUUGACCUCUUUAUUUCAAGAGAUUAAUUACUAUACACUAUCAGUGUAAAAAGUUUUACACCGUCGAUUCUUCACCAUCAUCCGUUUGUAUUAUUUUAUAGAUUUUUAAAAUAAAUCAGUCUUCUUUUAAUAUCCGACGUCUAUGAUUAACUGACGUGUUAAAAUCCUUUUACAGUGUCAGUAUAUUUCAAUUAAACUCUUAUUUCAAUUAUGAUUUCAUAGAUUUUUUAAAAUGAUAGUAUUUAGUUUUAAAAUUUUGACUUAAUUUUUUACAGGAUAAUUGUAAAAUACUUAUAGGUUUCAUUAAAUUAAUUAUCUUGUUCGUUAAUAUAGGUUCUUGAUUAACAAAUUGCAGGAUUUAGAUCUUUGAUAGAAGUAAAUUUGUUAUUAUAUUUAUUGAUAAUAAUAUUUUUAACAUAUGAUAAAUAUAAUAACUUUUGAACUUUUCCUAUUUUUUCAUUAUAAAGUUAGUUAUUGUUUUAUUUCAAAAAUAAUAUAAAUUUUUAUUAGCACAUGAAUAUUUGUUGUUUUAUUUUUGAAAGACAUUAUUUUUAUUGUUGUUAUAUUUAACUUUUUUUAAGCAGACGGAAAGGCAAAGUGAUCUUCAACAACCUAACUAGAUUAAAAUAAAGAAGAAAAGUACAAAAAUUGAGAGACAUAAAACUAAAUCAAUUUUAAUAAAAAAUAAACAACUAAAAUGGGUUUUAUAAAACAUGUUAAAAUAGUAAUUAAACAUAAAUUUUAAUCAAGAGAUAUCAGUCGUGCACAACUUAUAUUAACCUAACAAAUUAGAAUUCGGAGCAACCCAACUUCCAAAAUUGAAUGACGAACUUUUGUUGUUGUUGUUGUUGUUAUCUUUAACUUAUUUUUAAGCAAGCGGAAGGUAGAGUGAUCUUCGACAAAAUACGUUAUACGAGAUAUUAAUUUGGUACUGAUACAACACAAGUGCCUAGCGAUAUCAUUAUAUGUAUGUCACAUAAACUAAAAAAAGGCAGUAAGGCACAUACCAUACAAUGGUGCCUAAAUAAAAAUUAAAAUCUAUAUGCAACAUCUUCAUGUGCUCACAAUCCACAUCGGAGAAUCACAUAACUCCCAAUCUUUGAAACAUCAAGAAACAAUCAUGCAUAACUUGUACAAACCAAUAAAUUAGAAUUGAGGCGCAAAAUUUAAUUACCAAAAAAUUAGAUUUUUUAGCUGAAUAGCACGAGACUCUGAACUUUUAGUGUUUCUAUUGAACUCGGUUGUAAAUACAAUAAAGAAUCAUGACACCCAGUUGAAACUAUUUAAAACCAGUUUUUCAUUUAAAAUUAUAUAAAAAAAUCAUGAAUUUUUAGACUUACUCGUCUUGCUCAAUUAUUAUCUAUUUGUAUUAUAGCAUAUUUCCAUGGGUGUUCUAUAUAUGGAUCCAUAUUGUAAUUAUUUCACUAUUAUAUAUUAUAGAAUCUAAAUAUGGUAAAUAUUUUUUAAUAUCUUUAAUAAUGUAUUGAAAUUCAUAUAAUAAAAAUAAUAAUAUAAAUAUUUUUUUCAAAAUGAAAAGAAACAAAAAAGAUAAAUAAAUUGAAAAAUAAUUAUCCAACUUUUAUAAGAUUAUAUUUUAUUUUAGAAAAUAUUUCCUUUUAAACAAUUGUAUUUAUACAUAUUAUUUUUAUUCUUACAUGAUUAUUUCCUCACAAUACUAAUUACUCAGUUUGCAAUCCGAGGGAUUACACUAGGAGUAGUAUUAUCUAAAGAUGAUGAUUCAAUACACCAACAAUCUUACCGCGAAUACAUUGCCUUUUUUUUCCAGGACACCAGGUUGACAAUCUCCAUCUGAUUUACAGGUCCGUCAAGUUCUCUUCCUUCUGAUUUCUUACACAUAUCUGCAAGCAAAUAUUUCUUCAAAACAUAAGAAUAAUAUCGUAUGUAAACAAAGAAUAAUUCAAAAUGUAAAUUUGUUAGAAGUUAAACAUCCUUUUAGAAAGCAGGUGAUUUAUUCAUUUUAUCAUUAGUUCCAAACCUGAUGUUAAGAUGCAGAAAGCAAAAAGAUAUAUCAUUAUAAGAGCAGACAUCUUGUGGUAUCCAUCUUUUUAAUAUAACAUAUGAUAUGAC
rnacentral:lncRNA from 1 species